AGUCGUAACAAGGUCUCCGUUGGUGAACCAGCGGAGGGAUCAUUAUCGAGUUAUUCAACUCCCAAACCCUAUGUGAACUUACCACUUGUUGCUUCGGCGCGCGCUUCGGCGCCGCCGAGGACACUUAAACUCUUUGUUUUUAUAAGCAUUUCUGAGUGGCCGAAAGGCAAAAAUACAAAUGAAUCAAAACUUUCAACAACGGAUCUCUUGGUUCUGGCAUCGAUGAAGAACGCAGCGAAAUGCGAUAAGUAAUGUGAAUUGCAGAAUUCAGUGAAUCAUCGAAUCUUUGGACGCACAUUGCGCCCGCCAGCAUUCUGGCGGGCAUGCCUGUUCGAGCGUCAUUUCAACCCUCGAGCCCGACUCUUUUGAGGACGGCUCGGCGUUGGGGGACGGCAGACUCCCCCCGGCAUCUCGCCGGGGACGCCGCCCCCGAAAUCUAGUGGCGGCCCUCCGAGGCGACCUCUGCGUAGUAACUUGUUCUCGCACCGGAAAGCUCAGAGCGGCCACGCCGUAAAACCCCAACUUUUUUCAGGUUGACCUUGAAUCAGGUAGGACUACCCGCUGAACUUAAGCAUAUCAAUA
rnacentral:rRNA from 1 species